GGCCUACGGGAGGCAGCAGUGGGGAAUAUUGGACAAUGGGGGCAACCCUGAUCCAGCCAUGCCGCGUGAGUGAAGAAGGCCUUCGGGUUGUAAAGCACUUUCAGUAGGGAGGAAGGCUUAUCCUUAAUACGGAUGAGUACUUGACGUUACCUACAGAAGAAGCACCGGCUAAUUUCGUGCCAGCAGCCGCGGUAAU
rnacentral:rRNA from 1 species